AAGCAGAAAGAAUCAAAUAUAUUUAUAUAAAUAAACAUUGUUAGUAAAUGUUAAAAAGGAAUUUUUCACCCAAACUGAGAUCCUGUGUUAAAGUCCUGUAACCUGAUUCAUCCUGAAUUAUUAAUUUCCUGCUCACAUAAAAGUGAUGAGAAACAGAACAAAUCUUUAUUAGUAGUAGUGACGGUGGUAGUGGUAAUAAUAGUAAUUAAUUUUUAAUUUAGCAUUUAGCAGAUGCUUUUAUCCAAAGCGACUUACACAAUAAGCUGAACACGAUGAGCAAUUAAGGGUUAAGGGCCUUCCUCAGGGACCCAACAGUGGCAACUUGGUGGUGGCGGGGCUUGAACCAGCAACCUUCUGUUUACUAGUCCAGUACCUUAAUCACUGAGCUAUCACUGGCCACUAAUAGUAGUGGUGGUAGUUGUAGUGGUGACAGAGGUAAUAGUCGUGUUAAUAGUCGUUGUGAUAGUGGUGGUGGUGGCGAUAGUGGAGGUAGUAGUGAUUGUACUAAAAAUUGUGGUGGUUGUGGUUAUAGGUUUAGUUAUACUGGUGGCGGGAUUAUUAGUAGUUAUAGUGGUGGCAGGGGUAAUAGUCUUGCUGGUUAUGGUGGUGGUAUUAGUAGUGUUGGUUAUGGUGGUGGUACUAGUGGAGUUGCUAGUAGUGUUGGUUAUGGUGGACGUACUACUAGUGUUGGUUAUGGUGGAGGUACUAGUAGUGGUGGUUAUGUUGGAGGUACUAGUAGUGGUGGUUAUGGUGGAGGUACUAGUAGUGGUGGUUAUGGUGGAGGUGCUAGUAGUGGUGGUUAUGGUGGAGGUGCUAGUAGCAGGACUAGUGAUACAGUUUAAAUUCCUGGAGAAAAAAUAAGGUUACAAAAUAAAACUUUAUUAAAUAAAAAUGUGAUUUUGCUGAAGAUAAAAAAGUCUUACUGAGUUCAUCUGUAUCUUCAGGUUCUUCCUUCUUCACAGGCUUCAUCUGGAAACCUCCACACUGUUGGUCCACUGAGGAGAAGAGUUCCAUGACUUGUUCCACAGGGAUUAAAGAUCCUUCACCUGAAAUUCCAUCAACAUGUGAAGAAGAAACUCAACAACUGGAGGAAAUGUAAAAUUAUGAUUCACAUCAAUACAAACACACCAGCUGCUGCAGCUUCUUCUUCUUCUUCUGUUUGAAUUGAGGUGGUUGAUCUACAACGUUCAGGUUUAUUAGCGCCCCUACUGGACAGCAGUGCCCCUUUUCUGCACCUUCUAUCAGUCGGUGGUGGCCAGUGCUCUUUUCUUUGGAGUGGUUUGCUGGGGUGAGAGUGCUAGAACAACGGACACAAACCGAAUAAACAAACAGAUUAAGAAGGUCAACUCCAUAGUGGGGUCUGAACAGGACUCAGUUCAGCAGGUAGCAGAGUUAAGAAUGCUCACAAAGCUUAACUCAAUUAUCAACAACAAUUCACACCCACUUCACUCCCUGGAGGUGUUUCGACAGAGCACAUUCAGUCACAGACUGAUUCCUCCCAGAUGCAGGACUGAACGCUACAGGAAAUCUUUCCUUACAUCUGCAAUCAGACUGUUUAACAAUUCAUUACAAUUCAAAAUAAUUCAUAACAAUUUAUAAUAAACACCUACGUUUUUGUAUGCUU